rnacentral:lncRNA from 1 species
GAUAAUCGAUUAUAGCUUGUCCAUAAUCGAUUAUUCCAGUAAAAAUUACAAGGUUUAAUAUUUUCCUACUACAUCCAAGAUCUACAAGUUACUUUUUAAAUAAUUCUAAUGUUCUCUUCAAAUAAUACUUCUUGCAGCAUCAUCAAAACAAUUCUUCAGGUUUUACCAAUACUCCUUAUUGGUAACAAUCUCCCCCUUUUUGAUGAUGAUCAAAAAUUCACUUUUAAAAGCAACUCUGGUUUUCCUACAACACAUACAAGCUAAUAGACAACCACAAAGUUAGCAGUACCUGUACCAAUACCAAUUUUUAAAUUGUAAAAUAUUUCUCCCCUUAAUUCUCCCCUUAUAUUUCUUCUCCCCCUUUUUUGAUCAUAAGAAAAAAGAAUAAUGUAAAAAUCUCCCCCUUAAUAUGAGCUCCCCCUCAAUUAUAUAAUAUAUGCAUAAAAUUGACAUAAAGG